CUCUCUCAUUUUCUAUUGCUCUCUCUCUUGGACGAAGAAACAAGCCGAGAACACGAUUUCUAGUCGAAAUUUUCAGUGACAAAUGAUUUCAGAACUUAGAUCUAAGCUUUACAAACAAAGAUCCCGAUCAUCUAAUCAUAAAUUCGAAAUCAACAUCAGUUGUUCUUCGGAGAUUCAAUGAAAGUCAAUGGAUAUUCAUCAUCAGCAGGAACUGAAUAUGAAGAUUCUCCUAGAAAAUCAAAUCGAACAGAUUGUUUAAAGUUCAAUCUGUAUUUGCUACGUUCAGUACCUUGUCUUGAAGAUGAAAUCUCAAUGAAUGAAGAUACCUGGAAGCAAAUUUGAUGUGUAGCUACCAAAGAAAUUUUGGCCGGAGUUUUCUGAGGUGAUGCUUGAAGAUAGAGACAAGUUUAUGUUUACGAACCUUCGAAGUCUUCAAGGAAAAGUUGUAUAAGUGGUUGGGAUGGCUCAUAUGGAUGGAAUCGAACGAUGGUGGAAGCGGGCGGAGGAGGAUGACAGGAAGCAACAUCCGUUAGAUCUGAAGUUGCGGGUUAGCCAUGGAUGUCGAAAUCCCGGAGGGGGUUGAUGUUAUCAUUUCGGAAUGUAUGGGAUACAUGCUCUUAUAUGAGGUUUGUAAUGACUUCAUUUUCAUGGGGAAUAAUACCUACUAGUAUAAAUAGGACAGAUAUGCCGGUCUCUUAAAUAAGUGCUCCAGAGCUGUUUCUAUUUUUCCUGAUAUUAGAAUGCCCUCUAUCCAUCAACUUUCUGUUUUAUCCCAACUGGUUUCUGACAUUACCAUGUCAGUGCAUGUUCUUUCAUGUCAUCUGAAUUAUCGUUCUUUUUCUUUAUAGAGUAUGUUGGGUAGUGUAAUUACUGCCUGAGAUCGUUGGCUUAAACCUGGAGGGCUUAUUCUCCCAUAAAAUGCCAAGAUAAUUCAAUUAUGAUUUGAUCAUCUAACAUAUUGUCACAUUACACAACAUCUGUAUAGAUAGUUCAUUGAAGUUGACCUCCUUAAUUCUUUAACGUACUCCAGUUAUGAUUUAGUAAGGGACUUCUUUAUUGACAAACCCAUUACCUGAUAAAAAGCUAAAAAGAGAACGUCGUCGUCGUCGGGAACCUAAUGAUUUCAGUUAUUGGAAGUGGUCAAACUUGCAAGUUCCUGUGCUAUUCUCUGCUGGUGACGAUGCAAAGCUGUUUGCAUAUUCUGCUCAGGAUUUCACCAACUUUUCCCCACAUGAUAUUUGCCCUGCACCACAAAGAGUGCCCAUUCAGUUGGUGCAGAAUACAGUUAUAGAUGGUGCUUCUAUGAUAUUACUUCAGAACCCCAACUAUUUGGAUGUUUCACUUGUUCACUUAAAGAUGGCAAGGACUCUAGAAAAGGUGCAAGGACAUCGUUGUUUACUAUCAUUAAGAGAAGAUCGAAGAUAAUAUGCAGCACCAUGUCUGGUAGUGGAAUGUUGUUUGCGUAUUCCAACCAUGAGAAACCACACCUUUUUAAAUAUUCCAAAUCUAGAAAAAAUGCUUCUACACUUGCCAAAAAGGAGUUACCCUCUGAACUUUUCAUUUGCUCAUUCCAUAGUUUUCAGUGCCGAUUCUUCAAAGUUGAUUAUUGCAGGACAUGAUAGAAUGUUGUUAAAGUUAAAAGUAGAAAACUUUUGCAUACUUUCACACCUUCCCGGGACCCUAACAGCGAUUUAACACCUAGUGAGCCACCCGUAACAAGGAUGUUCGCCAGUUCAGACGGACAGUGGUUGUUAGAUGUUAAUUGUUUUGGUGAUAUAUAUAUAUAUAUAUCUUCGAUCUUGAGAAAAAAAGAAAUUCCAGUUAACUGGAGAAAACAUCUUCUGUUUGUCUGAUGAAUAAUCAUUAAAAAGGCAGUAGCUAUUUUGGAACAAGUUCUACCUUCUGUUGGGGGUGACAAGACUCUGCUUUACAUUUGGAGAUUGUUGGCACUAGAGGUUUUAAGGUGUUAGGUUCCAGUUACUACAGUACAACUAUUGAAGUACUGAGAUGCUUUCCAGUUUGAACAUCCCCUGGGUUAUUCUCAACCACUCUAAAAGAAGGGCUUUGCCAAAUGAAUCAAAUGAGUUCUUUGGAAAUAGUUGCAUAUGCACGUUUUCAAGGAUUUAAGGUGAUUGCUGGUGUCAGUGAGACUCUUGAAUAACAAGACGAGGGGCACAGUUUGACUGUUGUGGCUGAACAAAAAAAAAACAUAUUUAGAAUACUACUCCGUAUGUGAGAGUCUCUUCAAUUGCAGAUACUUCUUACCCACAAAUGCUAGCUACUAUUUAAAUUCUUUAAGUCCAACACUUGUCUGAACAUUGUUGCUUCUUUAUCUAUUAAGGAAUCAUCAUCUUGAAAAUCUGUUGUUUAAUGAUGUACUUUAGUUUUAUGUAGUUGGGCUCCAGGCAUUGAAUGUGUGUUCUGCGAAUUUAUUUCAUGUUUGAAACCUUGUCUGCCAUUAAAUCAGAAUUAGCAAAAUAACUAAUUGGUUCUUAGUUGUAACAUAUGCGUUACAACUGUGAAUAUCACAAGUAAAGUCAGUAAGCUGAGUA